rnacentral:rRNA from 1 species
AGGACGCUCCUUCGGGAAGCGAGCGUACACAGGUGCUGCAUGGCUGUCGUCAGCUCGUGUCGUGAGAUGUUGGGUUAAGUCCCGCAACGAGCGCAACCCUGCAUUCAGUUGCCAUCGGGUAAUGCCGGGCACUCUGGAAGGACUGCCAUCGACAAGAUGGAGGAAGGUGGGGAUGACGUCAAGUCCUCAUGGCCUUUAUGACCAGGGCUACACACGUACUACAAUGGCCGAUACAAAGGGCAGCGACACUGCGAGGUGAAGCCAACCCCGUAAAAUCGGUCUCAGUCCGGAUUGGAGUCUGCAACUCGACUCCAUGAAGUUGGAAUCGCUAGUAAUCGUGGAUCAGCAUGCCACGGUGAAUACGUUCCCGGGCCUU